ACCAAUCAGAAUCGUUGGUCGCCAUUUAUUCCAUACAACAUGGAGUGUGUUAGUUGACCUUUCAAAAUUUGUCAUCAGCAAGUUUCUAGUUUUCAAUAUUGAUUUAUCACAUUGGAGUAAAAACUAUUGAAACUGGACUUUCCUAUCCCAGCUUGCAGGAUCGGCGAACUAAAGCUCCGUUCAAACAAAUUAACAUAUUAUUCUUAGUAGUAAGACUAAUAUAAGCUAUGGCUGUGUUUGCAGCUGCCCAACUGUUGGAUGAACUCAUGGGUAGGCACAGAAAUGUGGCCCCCAAUGAAAAAGUACAGACUACUGAUUGGGAAGACCCAGAGUUUUGUAAAUUCUUCAUGGUAAAGUUUUGCCCUCAUGAUCUUUUUGUCAACACCAGAGCUGAUUUGGGGCCCUGCUUAAAAACCCAUGAUGAAGAAGCCAAAAAACUAUUUGAGGAAGCAAAAAAGACCCAUUUCAAAAAAAUCCAAUAUCAAGAAGAUUUCAUAAGGUUCUGCACCUCCAUGUUGAAUGAUGUUGAAAGAAAAAUAGUUAAAGGUAGACAAAGAUUGGCGUUGAGCGGUAAAAAUGUCUUGGCCUCCACAAAUCCGCAAUUAGCUGAAAAAAAUGCAGAAAAAAUUGGUGUAUUAAAUGAGCGAAUCAAUGAGCUAGAAAAAGAGGCUGAACAGGCUGGUACUGAUGGAAAUGUAGAGCAAGCUCAGGGUUUAAUGAAGCUGUGUGACCAAUUAAAAGAAGAAAGAGACUCAUUGAAAAGAGCUGAACUAGGUACCUUGGGUCUUACAGCACAACUAGCAGUCGAACAGGAGAAGCAAAUGGAAGUCUGUGAGGUUUGUGGGGCUUUUUUGAUUGUCGGGGAUGCACAGCAGAGAAUUGAUGAUCAUUUAAUGGGUAAACAGCAUAUGGGCUAUAUGAGGCUUAAAACUGCUUUAGAAGAAAUCACUGAUCUGGUUAGGGAGCUUAAGGAACCUAAGAAGUUUGGUAGAGAGGGAGAGAGGAGCAGGGAUAGGGAUAGGAGCCGCUCAAGACAAAAAAUGGGAGAAAAAGAGAAGAGGAAUGAUGAUAGAUAUGGAAAAGAAAGGAGGCAUAGAGGUCACAGUAGAGAUGAGGAAGGAAAACAGGGUGAGAGGUCCAGAGAUAAGGAAAGAAGACACCAUUCGGAUAAGGAAGACCGCCACAGACAUCACCACCAUCAUCACCACCAUUCGCACCGUCACCGCCGUUAAAACAGGCACACCUACUAAUUUAAUCUAUAAUAGACCAGUAAGAGUUGCCCCAAGCAGCUUUGGGCCAAUAAAAGGACCUUGAAGCUGAUUCCAGGAUCUUCUGAAGAUAAUUAUUUAUGUUAUUUCCAAGAGAGAUAUCCCCUCUGUCUGUUGCAGCAAAGCAGGUGACUUAGUUAGUAAUUUUUAAUAAUAAUAAUUGUAAUUAUUAUAUUAAUUAUUUACUUUUAAUUGUGUAAUGUAAUGUUAAUUUUUAAAAGAAAUAGAUUUUUUCAGUGGG
rnacentral:misc_RNA from 1 species